GGAUUUUGGAGCGCGACACCGACCAAAUGGCGUGGGGGAGCGCUCUGUGGAGGCGCGUCAAGGUGUUCCGGGUAGCAUUGCAGGUCUUCUUGGAUUACAGGGUGCGUAUCUCUUGCUUUUCGAGAGCUUGCGAGUGAUCCACCGGUCGAAAAUUUCCAGGCCGCACGCAAGGAGGCCGUUGGAUUGCCCAAGGAGGAUCAGAACCUGCUGUGGGAUCGCAUCCAUCACAGGAAUGCCGAGCGCAUUUUGGCGGCGAUCACCGAAUUGGAGGGACUGUGGGUGAAAUUUGGGCAGUAUUUAUCCACUCGAGCGGAUGUUCUUCCGGAAGCUUACAUCUCCAUGUUUCGCCAGCUCCAGGACUCCGUAUUACAGGUUCUACAUUUUAACACCUUUUAGAGGUAUUUGUAGCGUAGAGACUUAAUUCUCAUGCCAGCCAUUGAUCGGGAUUCGCUUGUCCAGGACUUGUACAAUGCACGAGUGAUUGUUGAGUGGGUCGCAUGGGCGGAGCCUGAUUACGAUUUCGGCCCUGUUCUAGACGAAUGGUGCAGAGAAGUUCCCCAAGAGUUGAAUUUCAACCAGGAAGCGGGUAUGAACAUUUCCAUGCAUGCUUUGUUUUUCAUUUCCUUCAACUACUUCUACUUUUCUGCUUCUCCAGAAAACACCAAGAAAGUAGCACACAACCUCAAAUCAUGGACCAAAGACGGUACCAUCAGUAUCGAUCCUGUUGAUGUGCUUCUACCUGAAGUCGUUAACCAAGCUGCUGUAACUCGAGUUUUGUUGUUUGUUGUUAACAGUCAGCCGAGAAAGUCUUGAUUCUCACGUACAUGGAUGGAGUUCGCAUAAAUGAUGUGGCUGGCCUUGAUAGACUAGGCGUGGACAAGCAAGCUGCUGUCGAAACUAUCACCCGGGCAUACGCUCACCAGAUAUAUAUCGACGGAUUUUUUAAUGCCGAUCCUCAUCCUGGCGAGUGAACUGAAACUAAUUCCUAAAAUGCUAACAUCUUUUCGUGAACAGGGAAUUUUCUAAUAAGUACUCAACCACCUUUCCGACCAAUUUUACUUCACUUCGGGCUCACAAAGUCCAUUUCAUUGCCUUUUAGGCAGUCACUGGCGAAGAUGCUUCUUGCUGCUGCCGAGGUACGUCGAAAACAAAACAAUGUGUGCUAACACUGCUUUGUGUAGGGAGAUUAUUCUGCUUUGUUGUCCGCAUUUUCGGAGAUGGGGCUUGUUCUGAAGCUGGACAUGCCAGAAGAGGCGAUGGAAAUCACCAACUUUUUUUUCCGUCGUUCCUUGCCGGCUGAGGAAUCUGUGGUAAGGUUGUUUUGUUCUUCCGCAUUAUCUGCUAGAGGUCCAUGGUCUCUGCCAUUCUUCCAACCUUCCCGUAGAGAUCGAUCAUGGCACUGUACGUAACUCUGUCAAAAGAAACCCCGGUUUCACAAAGCCGGUGGAACCAGGCCAUGGCAUCCUUAGCUCAACCGCAACACUUGGAACAGCUAACAAAGAUGCUGAAGUUGUCCACUCCCUUAUAUUAAACCCUUGUUUUUAGUAAAGAACUUUACCACUGUGUUCUAAUAUACAUCCACCCAUACCAAGUAUACAUCCCCUCUUGCGGACUUUCCCUUUGUCUUUUAUCUCUGUAGCAAAAUAAACUAGUCCACCAAAUCUCCUCCUUUUCAAUUCUCAAUUAUAUUGUUUAAAGACUUUUUAAUCUUAAUUAAAAAUUUUAUUUUACAUUAGUGGAAAAUGCUCUCUCCAAAACUACCACUAUAGAACAAGGUUGUGGGGAAUGGGUUUUCGGUGCAAUUAGUAGGGACAACAAUCUAUAUGCAUUGUGGUGUCUUAAUUUGGACGAUGACAGCUUAUCUAAUCCUAUGACAGCGUACAACUGAUGAAUGUUAUAGCUGUGAUACCUGCUAUGCUUAGUCACUCGGAGGGAAAUAUAAACAUCUAUUCUACUACAUUCGACAUAAAGAUAACAGCUAUUACAAAUGGACAGCGAUCUAUGCUUGCAAUUGCGAGCCGCUUUGCUGCGCCAUCAAAUCCCUCUCGAGCCAGUCCAGGCUCAAAUCUCUUCCCAGCAGCAUCACUCCCUCUUUGAUCGCUCGCGGCUCGACUAUCUCACCAGAAUUCUGGAAGAAAACGAUGAGGAGCUCCUCCUCCAGCUGCCACAACAACAGCAAACCUCUUACCAGGUACUGCUCCGCGAGCUCACGGAAUGUCUCUCCCCCAAUUCUUGUGCUAGCAGUUCCUUGUCAAUGGACACCGCCUCUCCUCCUCAUUUUCCCUCGCGCACCUCCACCGUCUCCUUCCACAGCUUGCUCAUGGACUGCGCCCGAGCCGUAGCUGCCAACAAUUCCACCAAAGUCAAUGAGCUCGUGAGAGAGAUCAGAACUUUAGCCUCACAUCAGUCGCGUCCGGUGGAGAAGGCCGCGCUCUACUUCACCAACGCGCUCGUCGCGAGGCUGGCCGGGUGUGGAGCUCGGAUGUACGCCGCGAUGCACCAGAACGUGACGAGGAUGCAGAGUAUCUCCAUCCGGAUGAAUCUUCCCAGCCUCCGGGCCACGGAGCGCUUCGCCAACCAGAUGAUCCUCGAUGCCUGCCGUGGUGCCAAGCGUGUCCAUAUCGUCGACUAUGGGAUCCUCUACGGCGACCAGUGGCCAUCGCUCAUCAAGGCGCUGUCCGAGAGAGCCGAGGGGCCGCCACUGUUCAAGAUCACAGGCAUUGACUUCCCGUCCCUUGUCAACCUCGAGAAAACUGGAAACCGGCUGGUCGACUACGCAGAGUCGUGUGGGAUGCACCUCGAGUUCCACUCCAUCGCCACCGCGGCGUGGGAGUCAGCGCAGCCGCGAUACCAUCUCUUCAGCGAGCUUCUCUUCGUCAACUGCCAGCUGAGGAUGCGGCACAUCCGCGAGGACGGGAUCAUCGACAGCCCCCGGAAGCUCUUCUUCGAGAAGAUCCUCAGCUUCAAGCCUGUUAUGUUUUUCCAGUCCGUGGUGCACGCUGACAUCGGCUCUCCGUUUUUCAUCCACCGCUUCGACGGGGCCUGGAGGAGCUUCCUGGCGAGGCUGGAGUCGUUCGAGGAGACGAUGAAGCUCGGAUUGAUCGACCAGUCGCAGCUCGACUUCAUGGAUAAGUUCAUCGAGAAGUGCGCCAUGGGUGUCAUUGCCUGUGACGGGCAGAACCGUGUGGAGCGUAUCUCCUCGUACAAAACCUGGGAUCGCCUGGCUCGGAAAGGCCAGUUCGGACAGCUUCCAGUCAGCAAACGAGCGCUCGAGAUGGUCAUGUCCGUUUGGAGCGGACACGAGAACUUCACGUACGGAAUGGACGAGAACUGGCUGCUGCUUGGCUGGAAAGACGCAGUCUUGAAUGCUUUGAGCGUCUGGGAGCCCAUUGAGAAGCUACCGCGCUUCAAACACCAGUGAUCCACCCUGUACCUACAUUCUUUCUCUAACUUCUUUGUUCCUGAUCGUGUCCUUCCUGUAAGGAGACUAUUUAAAUGUCUUCAAAGAACACUCAAGAGGCACUUACCUUGUCACGGAAGUUCUCAAGUCCAUCGCUAUAGAACCUGAAACAUACCAGCCACUUGUAGGACACGCUUUGGUCGUCAAGCACUCAUCACGUAGAGCACUGUGUCCUUCCACCCCAGCAACAUCCAGUUUCCAUCUCUUCCGAAGCCGAAGUACGGGUUCCUGAAAUUUCCACAAGCGCUCCUCUUCUCGCUUUGCCCGAGCAUCCCAGACGCGAUACGAGGCCGCUCUCUCCACUCGAUCGAGCCCUUCGCACGCGACGAUGUUCAUGAUAUCUCUUGCGGCCACCUUUUGGAUAAAUCCGUGCUCUUCCGGCUUUCCUUCUGCCACCGCUUCAAAGUACUCGCUCGGGCAAGUGUCAGGUGACUCGUCUGCUCGGAGAUCGGGAUCCCAUGUCCACUGGCGAUGGACCAGUGAUAGAUGGUCCAGUGGAUCAAAUAGUAGAAGCCCUAAAUGUUGCAUGGGAAGUAAAUCGAAUCAACUUAUAAAACGAAAACAAGUCUUGGCCUUACGGUGGUCAAUGCUGAUCUAUCAUGAAACUCGAACCUCUAUAGCCAUUCGCCACGCCUCUUCAGCCCGUUGGUCAAGAAUAAUUUUUAGAAAUACUUCUAGGUUUUUAACCCCUAAACCUUGGCCACAAAUAACUGGCGGAUUUUGCAUGCUAUAAUCCCUCCAAAAGCUAACAUCAUUGCCAUACCUACAAAAUCAAAUGUCAUGUAUGCAGCGCUGCUUCAUGUGGGAAUCCAGAUCCUAAAAGCCUUUUUAAUCUAAGUGAAGCUUGCCUGCUUUAAAAACCUAAAAGAAUAGUCUUGGCACAUCUAUGGGAGGACCUGAAUUAGACGGAACGCUCUCGAGCUAAGCAACCAGGAGCAGCGCCGGUGGCUGCUUGAAAACUCUGCCAUCAUUGAUUACUCAGGCUGACUCAGGGAACUGCUAGAAUGCAAGACCUACGGAAUGGCACCACUUUGUGCGCGGGAAUGGUGACUUGAUACUCCGAUUGCCUUUUAGACGUUAAUGUCUUGUGUGAAGCUCCGGGGGCUUGUGAUGGUGACGCUCUCCGUGCGUGCGAGGCUGACGGUCAUGGUGGCCACCACAGCCAUGCGCGACCACCACCACUGCGAGAAGAUAGCGCACUCCAAAGAUGGACUGGUGACUAUGAAAUGGGCAUCAGGUCAUCUGUAGUUGUAGCUUUGAAUACAUUCUCCCUUCUGGUGUACUGGCGAUUUGUAGAAAUGGCAGGCCUGAUGCUGCUCCUCAGUUUGAUCGGGGCGAAUCAUGAUCUUGAGUUUUGUUCAUGCGCAGCGAAGGUGCCAUUGCUAGCCCAGUGCUGAAGAUAGAUUCUCCAUGGCCAAUAGUCCUCCACUUUGCCAACUUAUACUGGGAUUUUGUAUGGAGAGACGAUGAUUCAAGCCAACUUGAAGGGUGUGUUGAAGGGGUAGUUUUGACAAUAAACAUCUCUAACGUUUGGAACGGUGACAAGCAAGUUUAGAUCUGGAUAGAAAGUUUAGCAUUCGAGCGUAGCAAUAAGAUCGAUUUACAACAGCAAGUACGGAGGAAAUUGUAAAUAAAAUUGAAGUGUCAACCUCAUUUUCUUGAUUUUCUUUUCAUUUUUUCAAUUUUUUUUUUCACAGAAAAAGGUUGUUCUAGUUUCCACAGACAAUACGACUGUGACCAGUAAAACAAAAGCCACUAGGCCUAGGUAUAUAGAGACGAACCAACAUGAUAUUUCAAAGUGUUAAUCAGGUAACUGGCGGUUAUUUGGAUUUUGCAUGAAAAACAAUGUUUGCACUUAACAAUUGGUGGUGUAAAAAUAAUGUGCAAUCACAUCAUGUUUUUAUUUCAUAUAUUUCACAUUUUCCAGGCUAGUAUUUGUCAACUUUUAGAGUCAAGGUCUUUAAUGAUACUUCCAAGAAGCAUGGUUGCUUUUGCGAGCGACGGAACCGUCAGAUUUUGGAAUCGUUGAUUCUAAUCGUACGACUGUGGCUCGGCGGAGCGGCCUUUUAAGCCGGCAUUUUCGGACAUGGCGAUCGCAGUGGUGGAGAGCGAGCUAGGGUUUUGGAGCGCGACACCGACCAAAUGGCGUGGGGGAGCGCUCUCUGGAGGCGCGUCAAGGUGUUCCGGGUAGCAUUGCAGGUCUUCUUGGAUUACAGGGUGCGUAUCUCUUGCUUUUCGAGAGCUUGCGAGUGAUCCACCGGUCGAAAAUUUCCAGGCCGCGCGCAAGAAGGCCGCUGGAUUGCCCAAGGAGGAUCAGAACCUGCUGUGGGAUCGCAUCCACCACAGGAAUGCCGAGCGCAUUUUGGCGGCGAUCACCGAAUUGGAGGGACUGUGGGUGAAAUUUGGGC
rnacentral:lncRNA from 1 species